UUAUAAUUUUUCAAUUAAUUAUAAAAUAAAUAUUUUAAAUAUUACAAAAUUCAAAUAAAAAAAAUACUAUACGACUAUGAAUACAUAAAUGAUUUACUUUUAUUAAAAGAACAUAAAAUAAAAGAAAAAGCAGAUUCUAUAUAAAGCUAAGGUAAAUUGGAAAUAAAAAAUAAAAAAAAGCGCUGCUAAGGUAAAUUAAUUGAAGUGUAUAUAAUGAAUAUAUAAAUUAUUUAAUAUAAAUUCUUUGUAGGUAUAUAUAAUAAUAAUAUAUUUUUAUAAAAAUUAUAAAAAAAAUUAUCUGAAAUCGAUUCACCAUAAAGAUGAGAUUUAUUUAAAUAUUUUUUAGAUUUAAGAUUGAAUUGAAUUCACUUAAUUCAAUUAUAAAAUAAGUGGGUAAUUAAGUAAAAAUAACGACAGAGGAGUGAUAGAAUUAUUAUAAAUUUUUUGAAAGGGGGAAAAACACUAAGUGGCUGUUCGUAAACUAGAAAAGCCGCUGCGACAUAUGUAGGACAAAAGCAAACAUGAAAAAGAAAAAGAAAAAGAAAAGAAAAGAAAAGUGAUUAUGCAUUUAAUUAUAAUGCAAAAAAAACUUUUGCGAACCUUUUUCAUGUGGGUGGAUGUCAUUUUAGAGCUGUUGUUAAGCGUCGAAAAGCGAUUAAAACCAACCGUAAAAUUAAUUAAUUAAUUAAGAGAAGAUGAAAUCCAAUCCAAAAGGGUAUGGCUCAGACAGUGAGCUGAUGUUGCUUUUAGAGGCAGGCAAUUACAAAUGGCCCAUAGGACAAUUGAAGUAUGAACUACUCUCGGGUGAGAGCAAAUAGAAGAUGCCAAAGGAUGAAUAUACAAUAAUAUGUAAUAAUAUAUCCAUCAUUUCUUUACAUCACAUCAUCCAUAAUCUGGAGUGUAGCUGUAGCCUGUACAAAAUCAGAAAAAGCGGAAAAAGAAAGGUGGUCUCGUCCCCCAUUUACUCAUUUCAUUUAUGUUUCCAACUGCUCAAUAAUUAUUGGCCUUUGGAAAAUUUUUACAUCUAUCUACUGUAAAAGCUAAGGUGUUAUUUAAAAUUAAAAAAACUAAUUAUUUGAUAUUAUAACUUUUAAUCAGGUGAGUGUAUAAAGUAAUUUAUAUAUUUAAAGGGGUGAACCUGUUUUUUCUAUGAAUAUAUAGCUGACAUAAAUUGAAUUCUAAAUUUUUCUUAAACUCAAUUAAUAAUAGACUCAAAAUAAAAUAAAUAAAUCUAAUUUAAUUUUUAUACAUAUAUUAUCAUAUCAUUAUUAUAUUAAAUUCAUAAUAGACUACAUAUAAAUAAAGUUUUUUUUAUGCACACUAUUAAUCGAGUGACAAUAAUUCAUUAUAUCAUUAAUCAUUAUAUAUAUAUAUAACUACUCUUAAAUUUUAAAUUAUUUAUUAUAUUUAUUAUUUUUUUAAUUUAUUGAUUGGAGCGUCGGAGUGAUAGUUGUAUGCGCUAAUUAUCUUAUCUUUUUUUUAUAAAUUAAUUAAUCAUCACACGAUUUUAUUUUAACCAUAUCAUAUAUAUAUAUAUUCAACUACUUUUUUUUUAUAUUGCAAAUUGAUUAAUUAUCGCAUAAUUUUAUUUUAAUCAGAUCAUAUAUAUAUUCUCAAAACACAAUAUAUAAGCUAAAAUUAUAUUUUAGCAAAUUGUAGAGACUUUAUUAUUUUAUACUAUAAUUUAUAUUAUCUUGUAUUACUUUAAAAAAAAAAAAAAGAACUUACAUACUCCAUCUAGCCGAUUAUUAACUAUUGAGACAUACGGAAGAAGAGGAGAGUGAUGAGGUGAGCAAAUCAAUGAAGGAUUGAAAACAUGAAUGACAAGGAAUUAAAUAGGAAAUUGAUGUAGACAUAUUAAUGGCAUUCCUCCCUUUCAAUCAAUUUUCUUAGAGAAUUUACCCUCAAUCAUGUAAAUCAUUUUGGCAACUGUCACAAAACCUUAGCUGAUGUUUUUGGAAAGUGAUUUACCCACCAAGCUCUCUCAUAAUUUUUUAGCAAGUCUUUUGGUUCUUCCUCCCAAAUUUAGUGUUUUUAUGGUGCUUUCAAUUGACAAGUUAUCAUUGGUCUUACCUUCAAGGCUGCUACAGAGUUUUGAUUUAUGGUGAUAUUGGAGAUGCUCCGCUUGUGUUGUUCUCGUCGGGAGUAAUGGGGUUGGCAAAAAUUAAUGUCGGAGCACAAGUCUGCUCCUAGAUGGUGGCUUCAUGGUUUUAUCAAACUGAAAAUACCAUGGAUUAGCUUUUUUCUGACGAUGGUGGCACUGAAUUUACAAGAACGUUGGUUGUAUGUCGUCAGCCGUUGGUUCAUUAUUCAGAAUUGGAUUUCUCUAUUCUACAGUCGGCAGUGGCUAUUUCGAUUUGUUUGGCUGUGGCUAAAAAUAUGUUCAGCUGAAUUUUUUUCUAUUAUGGUUGCGUGCUGUGAUUGUAUAAUCGUUGUUCUUACCGUGAUUAUAUUGUUGUUUACUUGGCUCAUCGGUGCAGUGUCAAUGUGAUGGGAACUUUCUAAGUAAGUUCCGGUCAACUUCUUGAGUUAGGGUUUGAAUCUAAUUUUUUGGAUUGAGUUCUUAUUUUUUCUUUAGAGUGUAGAGUUGGAUUUUUAUUUGUGACCGAUAUUCAUUGAGUUCA